AUUGAACGCUGGCGGCAUGCCUUACACAUGCAAGUCGAACGGCAGCACGGGUGCCUGCACCUGGUGGCGAGUGGCGAACGGGUGAGUAAUACAUCGGAACAUGUCCUGUAGUGGGGGAUAGCCCGGCGAAAGCCGGAUUAAUACCGCAUACGAUCCACGGAUGAAAGCGGGGGACCUUCGGGCCUCGCCCUAUAGGGUUGGCCGAUGGCUGAUUAGCUAGUUGGUGGGGUAAAGGCCUACCAAGGCGACGAUCAGUAGCUGGUCUGAGAGGACGACCAGCCACACUGGGACUGAGACACGGCCCAGACUCCUACGGGAGGCAGCAGUGGGGAAUGUUGGACAAUGGGCGAAAGCCUGAUCCAGCAAUGCCGCGUGUGUGAAGAAGGCCUUCGGGUUGUAAAGCACUUUUGUCCGGAAAGAAAUCCUUGACUCUAAUACAGUCGGGGGAUGACGGUACCGGAAGAAUAAGCACCGGCUAACUACGUG
rnacentral:rRNA from 1 species